AGUUAUCAAAGAGGUUGCAACCAACAUGAGUAACGUAAAUGAGUUCGCCAAGAACAGUGAUUUUACGCGAAAGGGGCGGUUGCCGAAAUUUCUCGCAAGGCAGCGGGAGAUUGGGCUAACAACGAAUAGUUGUUAGACUGUCACGGCGACGUGGUGUGCUUUGAAAAGU
rnacentral:ncRNA from 1 species